GAUGAAGAACGUAGUGAAAUGCGAUAAGUAAUGUGAAUUGCAGAAUUCAGUGAAUCAUCGAAUCUUUGAACGCACAUUGCGCCCACUAGUAUUCUGGUGGGCAUGCCUGUUCGAGCGUCAUUUCAACCCUCAAGCCUUAGUUGCUUGGUGUUGGGAGCUUAUCUUGCCGAAAGGCGGACAACUCCUUAAAACUAUUGGCGGAGUCGCGGUGACCCCAAGCGUAGUAAAUCUUUUUUUUCUCGCUUUAGGUGUUAACGCUGGCUUUCUAGCCGUUAAACCCUCUAAAUUUUUAGUGGUUGACCUCGGAUCAGGUAGGACUACCCGCUGAACUUAAGCAUAUCAAUAAGCGGAGGA
rnacentral:misc_RNA from 1 species